rnacentral:rRNA from 1 species
UACGUAGGGGGCAAGCGUUGUCCGGAAUUAUUGGGCGUAAAGCGCGCGCAGGCGGUCAUUUAAGUCUGGUGUUUAAUCCCGGGGCUCAACCCCGGAUCGCACUGGAAACUGGGUGACUUGAGUGCAGAAGAGGAGAGUGGAAUUCCACGUGUAGCGGUGAAAUGCGUAGAUAUGUGGAGGAACACCAGUGGCGAAGGCGACUCUCUGGGCUGUAACUGACGCUGAGGCGCGAAAGCGUGGGGAGCAAACA